UACAGAGGGGUCAAGCGUUGUUCGGAUUUAUUGGGCGUAAAGGGUGCGUAGGCGGCGCGGUAAGUCGGGUGUGAAAUCUCGGAGCUUAACUCCGAAACUGCAUUCGAUACUGCCGUGCUUGAGGACUGGAGAGGAGACUGGAAUUCAUGGUGUAGCAGUGAAAUGCGUAGAGAUCAUGAGGAAGACCAGUGGCGAAGGCGGGUCUCUGGACAGUUCCUGACACUGAGACACGAAGGCCAGGGGAGCAAACGGG
rnacentral:rRNA from 1 species